AGUAUUUAUAUAUCCGGAGAAAGUUCUAUAGUAAAUUCUGGAGAACUUCGGUAUUUAAAUGUCAACAUUGAUUUGUUUAUUUAUUGCUUAGCUUAUCGUAACUGACUCAAUAACAAAUCUAAUCAUGUUGUGCACAGAGAAAAUAUUCUCAUUAUGUAUUUUUUUUCCUACAUUAUAUUUAAAUAUUUCAUUUGGAUUCCAGCUGUAAAUAUCAAUAUUAUCAAGUAAUUACU
rfam:Tinamus guttatus contig3967, whole genome shotgun sequence.